rnacentral:rRNA from 1 species
AUGAACGCUAGCUACAGGCUUAACACAUGCAAGUCGAGGGGCAGCAUGGUCUUAGCUUGCUAAGGCCGAUGGCGACCGGCGCACGGGUGAGUAACACGUAUCCAACCUGCCGUCUACUCUUGGACAGCCUUCUGAAAGGAAGAUUAAUACAAGAUGGCAUCAUGAGUCCGCAUGUUCACAUGAUUAAAGGUAUUCCGGUAGACGAUGGGGAUGCGUUCCAUUGGAUAGUAGGCGGGGUAACGGCCCACCUAGUCUUCGAUGGGUAGGGGUUCUGAGAGGAAGGUCCCCCACAUUGGAACUGAGACACGGUCCAAACUCCUACGGGAGGCAGCAGUGAGGAAUAUUGGUCAAUGGGCGAGAGCCUGAACCAGCCAAGUAGCGUGAAGGAUGACUGCCCUAUGGGUUGUAAACUUCUUUUAUAAAGGAAUAAAGUCGGGUAUGGAUACCCGUUUGCAUGUACUUUAUGAAUAAGGAUCGGCUAACUCCGUGCCAGCAGCCGCGGUAAUACGGAGGAUCCGAGCGUUAUCCGGAUUUAUUGGGUUUAAAGGGAGCGUAGAUGGAUGUUUAAGUCAGUUGUGAAAGUUUGCGGCUCAACCGUAAAAUUGCAGUUGAUACUGGAUAUCUUGAGUGCAGUUGAGGCAGGCGGAAUUCGUGGUGUAGCGGUGAAAUGCUUAGAUAUCACGAAGAACUCCGAUUGCGAAGGCAGCCUGCUAAGCUGCAACUGACAUUGAGGCUCGAAAGUGUGGGUAUCAAACAGGAUUAGAUACCCUGGUAGUCCACACGGUAAACGAUGAAUACUCGCUGUUUGCGAUAUACAGCAAGCGGCCAAGCGAAAGCGUUAAGUAUUCCACCUGGGGAGUACGCCGGCAACGGUGAAACUCAAAGGAAUUGACGGGGGCCCGCACAAGCGGAGGAACAUGUGGUUUAAUUCGAUGAUACGCGAGGAACCUUACCCGGGCUUAAAUUGCAGAUGAAUUACGGUGAAAGCCGUAAGCCGCAAGGCAUCUGUGAAGGUGCUGCAUGGUUGUCGUCAGCUCGUGCCGUGAGGUGUCGGCUUAAGUGCCAUAACGAGCGCAACCCUUGUUGUCAGUUACUAACAGGUUCCGCUGAGGACUCUGACAAGACUGCCAUCGUAAGAUGUGAGGAAGGUGGGGAUGACGUCAAAUCAGCACGGCCCUUACGUCCGGGGCUACACACGUGUUACAAUGGGGGGUACAGAGGGCCGCUACCACGCGAGUGGAUGCCAAUCCCCAAAACCUCUCUCAGUUCGGACUGGAGUCUGCAACCCGACUCCACGAAGCUGGAUUCGCUAGUAAUCGCGCAUCAGCCACGGCGCGGUGAAUACGUUCCCGGGCCUUGUACACACCGCCCGUCAAGCCAUGGGAGCCGGGGGUACCUGAAGUGCGUAACCGCGAGGAGCGCCCUAGGGUAAAACUGGUGACUGGGGCU